CACCGGCAGCUCAAGUGGUGGCCGUUUUUAUUGGGCCUAAAGCGUUCGUAGCCGGCCUGAUAAGUCUCUGGUGAAAUCCUGCAGCUUAACUGUGGGAAUUGCUGGAGAUACUAUUAGGCUUGAGGUCGGGAGAGGUUAGAGGUACUCCCAGGGUAGGGGUGAAAUCCUGUAAUCCUGGGAGGACCACCUGUGGCGAAGGCGUCUAACUGGAACGAACCUGACGGUGAGGAACGAAAGCCAGGGGCGCGAACCGG
rnacentral:rRNA from 1 species